GAGCCGCGUUGUCACGCGCCGUGGCGGGUACUGGACUGGCGGAGCCCGGGGAGUGAAGUAGUGAAAUCGGACCUACGCCUCUCCAACGCUCGCGUGAUCACGUGGUUGGCACCCAGGCGGAAGUCUGCGGCAGUUCUUUGCGGUGAAGAACUUGCAAAGCGUUGCUGGAAAAGACGGGAGUUCUACUGACACUCCAGUCCAAAGCUAGGUGGGACCGCCUCCUGUCGCACGUUUCCGCCUGGUCCCGCGCUUUAGGAGCUAGGAAAUGUGACAGAGGCGGUGCCUACUGCCUCGCUAGGAAUGGCCGCGGAGGAGGACUGGUCACGUGGCGUGGCUUCCGGCCUCUGGCGCGUUCCUAUUCGGGAAGGUUUUAAAUGCGGAGUCAUCUCUUGAUUUGUCAGCGAGGCUUUGACUGUGAGCUUCGCGGCGUUCGCGCCUCACCGCCUCACCGAGGGUGGGUCUUUCGCGCGCAGAAUUGUGUAGGAUUUUCCAAAGGGAGUAAAAGCCGAUCGGGGCCUACUUUUAACAUUCCACAAUUAGUAACGUCUGAUUCGUUUGUUUCCACAGUGGGUACGCUGCGAAGACUAGGCUUAUGUUACCCAGAGGUUAGUCCUCUACUAGGCCACGUACUUUAAAUAAUUUAUCACGCUAGUGGAAAUGCGGGGUGGAAGAAAACCCCACCAGCCUUUGGAUUGUAACAGCACAGUAACUUUCCCUGGUUUUUAAAAAUAUUGCCAAAAUACUGCGACUCCAUGUGGCCAACGUAUAGUGACUGAUCACUUUGAAAUGCAUGCCCUUGACCCACCAACUCGCAUGGCCUCUCGCUAUAAGAGAGCAAGCCGGCUGUGUUCCAUGUUCAAUUCAAUAAGUGCAAUUCAAUAAGCUUUUGACUUGUUCUGCCCAAGCAAAUCCUGCCUUUAUAUCGACCUUGCAAGCAGAACAGAGAAUGCUGUUUGGAAGGCAGAAUUCAUAGUACCUAGUUUUCUUGUCCCUGGGAAUUUUGAGGGACUUGAAAUGUCGCGUGGAUGAGUGAGGGAGUUUGUCUUCCAGAGACAAAGCAAAACGAAACGUCAAAGUUCUGUGCUGGUGAAACCAGAUUUGAAGAAUAUCAAAGGCGUCUUACCAAAGAGGAAAAAAAAUGCAUCUUGCCAAGACUUGAAGAAAGGGAUUAGAGAAACCAGAGGCCUUGAAUACUCAGAAAAUGGGAGAUUGUGAAUGGGUGUAGAGGAUAUCUAUGAACCUUGACAUUUCUUUUCACGCCAAGUCCAUUCCCCUGUUAACAGUUGCUUCCCAGUUUCCUGCACAGCUGCAUGGUCUGGGACACUUAAAGAAAAAAAUCACAGGAAAUCAGUGUUCUUGGUAUAUUAUAUAAAGUUAUGAUUCUAUCAACAUUUGUAAUUCAUUUAAUAUUCAGGUGACAGCCCGAAAAUUUACACUAAACAAUACCAUUCCUGUUAAGUUUUACUACAUAUUGAGAGGACUUCUUGUUACCUCCCUAUUACAUACUCCCAAACGCUUUGCACAUGGAAUCCCUCACCUUCCACCUAGUUUUCCCCCCUACUAUUGAUAUUCUUGACUAAAAGGUUGAGUAGUUUCGCCAUCAAUUAAAGUUAAAACCACUGCAGACAGGACAGGGAAGAAAAGCUACGAGGUUUGCUCUUCACAGAAUUAAUCUGUGAAAUAAUGGAUUGUAGUUACUGGAUUAAAAUGGCAGAAAACCUAGUCUUGGCCUCCUUAAGACCAUCAGACUCCCUGGAGGCUCUGAGUUGGCUUCUCUCUUUACACCUAGAUUGCAACAAGACCUAAGCACUUGGUUAAUAUUUACCCAGGAACUUAGAUUGCUUGUGUGUCUGGCAUCUAGCCAUCAUGGAUUCCAUUCCAAUAUAUUGGUUUUCCAGUCCCUCAAUAGCUGUUAUAUGCCUUCAUUGCAACAUAUGUGUGCCAUCCAGUUUAGUUUCGGAAAGAAAUAUUUUCUGUUAUACCAAAAUUGUAGGACUGAAUACUUGGAAGCUGCAGCCCUUUAAUUCACAAAACAAAAUUUGUGAGAGAAAACUUCUCCCAAGGGCCAAUUUUGAAACAAACUAGACAGAGAGACCCCAACUGCAGAAUCCUCCUGCUCAAGGGGGAUUAGGAACCAUUAGCCCAGCACUACCAGCUGAGGUCAGGAUGACAUGAACUGGGCCUUCAGGCAGGCAGUUACUGAAGAUGACCGUCAGAAGAAGACACACAGACCUACACCUUCCUGCGCUACUCCUGCAUAUUUCCCA
rnacentral:lncRNA from 1 species